rnacentral:rRNA from 1 species
CAUACCACCUUGAAUGUGCCCCAUUUUGUCUGAUCUUGGAAGCUAAGUAGGGUUAGGCCUCCUUAGUGCUUGGAUGGGAGAAGUUUCUUAUUGCAGUAUCAACAAAAAAUCUUUUGAGGACAUGAGGCU